UACGGAGGGUGCAAGCGUUAUCCGGAUUCACUGGGUUUAAAGGGUGCGUAGGUGGGCAGGUAAGUCAGUGGUGAAAUCUCUGGGCUUAACCCGGAACUGCCGUUGAUACUAUCUGUCUUGAAUGUAGUGGAGGUGAGCGGAAUAUGUCAUGUAGCGAUGAAAUGCUUAGAUAUGACAUAGAACAUCGAUUGCGAAGGCAGCUCGCUACACUAUGAUUGACACUGAGGCACGAAAGCGUGGGGAUCAAACAGG
rnacentral:rRNA from 1 species